CUGAGCUAGAAGGAGGAACUUUAGAGAUCCAACUGUCUCCUUUUGCAAAUCAAGGACCAGAGGCCAGAGAGGGAAGGCCAAUUUCUCAAGGAAGCCCCGGCUCAUGGUGAAUCCAGAAUCUCGCAGCUUCCCUGCACCUCCACGACCAGAGAGCAUUCAGAGGCACCCCUGCCCUCCCCUUCCUCAUCGCUGUCCCUGCUUCCACCUUGGUUCCUUACAGACUAGCUCCACAGAGCAGCGGGCUCGAGCCCUUGAAAGCACAGAUCAGUCCAGAAUAGGCACAUCUAUGGGGACAAAUCAUCAGUUGCCUAGGGCUGGGGGGUUGGGAGGAAGUGGGCAGUGGAUGCUAAUGGUACAGGGCUUCUCUUUGGGCUGAUUAAAAUGUCCUAAAACU